UACGAAGGGGGCUAGCGUUGUUCGGAAUCACUGGGCGUAAAGCGCACGUAGGCGGAUCUUUAAGUCAGAGGUGAAAAUCCCAAGGCUCAACCUUGGAACUGCCUUUGAUACUGGGGAUCUUGAGUCCGGGAGAGGUGAGUGGAACUGCGAGUGUAGAGGUGAAAUUCGUAGAUAUUCGCAAGAACACCAGUGGCGAAGGCGGCUCACUGGCCCGAUACUGACGCUGAGGACGAAAGCGUGGGGAGCAAACAGG
rnacentral:rRNA from 1 species